GAUCCUGGCUCAGGAUGAACGCUAGCGACAGGCUUAACACAUGCAAGUCGAGGGGCAGCGGGGCGAAAGCUUGCUUUCGCCUGCCGGCGACCGGCGCACGGGUGAGUAACACGUAUGGAACCUGCCCUAUGCAGGGGGAUAAGCGGAAGAAAUUCCGUCUAAUACCGCAUAACACCAUUUGGAGACAUCUCCAGGUGGUCAAAGGAGGCGACUCCGGCAUAGGAUGGCCAUGCGUCGCAUUAGCUAGUCGGCGGGGUAACGGCCCACCGAGGCGACGAUGCGUAGGGGUUCUGAGAGGAAGGUCCCCCACACUGGUACUGAGACACGGACCAGACUCCUACGGGAGGCAGCAGUGAGGAAUAUUGGUCAAUGGGCGCAAGCCUGAACCAGCCAAGUCGCGUGAGGGAAGACGGUCCUAUGGAUUGUAAACCUCUUUUGUCGGGGAGCAAAGCGCGGUACGAGUACCGCGAAGGAGAGUACCCGAAGAAAAAGCAUCGGCUAACUCCGUG
rnacentral:rRNA from 1 species